CUACAGGUAUAAGCACAGUUCCUCUGGGCAUUUUAAUGGCCGUUCUCUAUGAUCUUUGGACAUAAACACUUCUCCAACCUCAUAAAGCCUUUCAAAAUAGAGAUGAAGAUCUGAAACAGAAUCUUUGAGUUUAUACAGAGACACAGACCUCAUGGAAGCUCCACCUUGCAGUAUUUUAUAUAUACUAAAACCCAUACGCUGUCAUUAAAGACCUGAAAAACACAAAUGUGAAUCCUCUAAUAUGGAACAUUUUAAGUGAAAGAAAAGAUGGAGGAAGUGGAGAAGAAUAAAUGAAUGGAGGAGACAGCCAAGAACAACAGCUCUGGAUGAUCACUGAAGACAGAAAACCUGGCUUUGGGGUAGCAGUUUUCCAUUUGCCUCUGUGUAGAGCUGUACAGCCUUUGAGGAGUCAGGGGACAUUACAGUUUUCCUGCUAAUGGCAUUUUUGUCUAGGUGGAGGCAAAGCAGUCAGCUUUACCAACACUUAUGAGAACCAUUAACUCUUCCUGGACAGUGGACAAGGAACCUGACAUAUAUAUUGUAUAGAGUCAUAUAUUGUAUGGAGUCAUAUUCUACCUCAUGUUCCAUUUCCUCUGUCCUCUCUGAAAUGAAAUGCCACUUACAUACCAGAAAGAAGAGAAACACUCUUCUCAUUCCCCAAAAUCUGAUGUGUGGUUCAUCUUUGGUGAAUUUCACUUCAUUCAGCUUUCCCAUCAACUGUGUGUGCAAACAGUCCAGUGAGCUAAAUAGUGCCCAGCAAACCCAAGGGUGGCUUGCACAUAACUCUCCAAUGAGAGGCAUCUUAUCACUGCUGCUGCUGAUGAACAUUCUGAGGAAUGAACAUGCUGAAGAAAAUCACAGGAAGAAGAACUAGCAGACAGGUUGUUUUUCUGUUGGUUUGCUUUAUGGGGUUAUACUAAUACUUGGAGAAAGCACCAUUUCUUAAAGCAGGCUGAAGAAAAUUCAACAAUCAUCUUUUGAAAUUUAAAAUUCUUUUGAAAGUGAAAAGCUUUAUAAAAUUGGGUGGUUUUUUUUUCUUCCAAUAAUUUCAAUUUAAAG
ensembl:lncRNA